rnacentral:misc_RNA from 1 species
GUGAUUAAAUUGAGCGUGUCUUCAUUGACCGCUCACCCUUCUCACCAUCCACAUACACCUGUGCACUGUUUAGCCUGAGCCGGUUUUCCGGUCCAGGUUAUCAUUUCAUACAAACUCUAGUCUUAUGAAUGUAAACGUUUUAACAACAUAAUA